rnacentral:lncRNA from 1 species
UCUAUAUCUAUUUCACUGCACAGCUCCUCACACGAGCAAGAGUCACGUGUGCAGCCAGAGCCAAUCGCUGCACACACAGCCAAGCAGACACGGACUGUAAACACGAGUGAGAGAGAAGAAGAUAGUUUAUACCGGAGAGGAACGUCUGAGCAGCAGUGUUUGCACUGAUAAGCUAACAAAGCUCUUAAGUCUCACUUAUUGGGCCUGAUGUUAGUCACUGAUGUUCGUGUGUGUGAGCCACUGCAGACGCCACUUCCUCCUGUGCCAUGCUAUCGUUAGCGUAUCAGACACGGGAACUCUCUGAAUAGAUGAUUUGAAACCAUCAGCCACUGGUGAGUCUUCUACAGACACGUUUCCCAUUGUAUAAACCAUAUAACUGUUGUUCAAUAACCCGCUGUUUCACUAGAGUCGGUAUUGACCUCAACCUGUUCAAUUCUCCAUCUGGAAAACUGUGGUGCCGUGCAUGGAAGCUAAGCUCUGACCACUCGGUUCAAAGAGGACAGACACUUCAGAAUUGAAGGGAGCAUCAGAACAUAAUGUGUACUGAUCAUUCAUUAAUACUGAUCAAUUAAAUAAACCAACGCAAGACAUCCUGGACUCCUGUCUG